UGGGGAAUAUUGCGCAAUGGGCGGAAGCCUGACGCAGCGACGCCGCGUGCGGGAUGACGGCCUUCGGGUUGUAAACCGCUUUCAGCAGGGACGAAUCAAGACGGUACCUGCAGAAGAAGCGCCGGCUAACUACGUGCCAGCAGCCGCGGUAAUACGUAGGGCGCAAGCGUUGUCCGGAAUUAUUGGGCGUAAAGAGCUCGUAGGCGGCCUGUUGCGUCCGCUGUGAAAUCCCGGGGCUUAACCCCGGGCGUGCAGUGGAUACGGGCAGGCUAGAGGCAGGCAGGGGAGAACGGAAUUCCUGGUGUAGCGGUGAAAUGCGCAGAUAUCAGGAGGAACACCGGUGGCGAAGGCGGUUCUCUGGGCCUGUUCUGACGCUGAGGAGCGAAAGCGUGGGGAGCAAACAGGAUUAGAUACCCCCGUAGUCC
rnacentral:rRNA from 1 species